CUCUGUUCGUCUCUGUCUUUCUCUCUGUGUCUCUUUCUCUGUCUGUCUGUCUCUUUCUUUCUCUCUGUCUCUGUCUUUCUGUCUUUCUCUCUCUCUCUGCCUGUCUCACUGUGUCUGUCUUCUGUCUUACUCUCUUUCUCUGCCCAUCUGUCUGUCUCUCUCUGUCUGUUUCUCUCUGUCUCUCUCUGUCCAUCUCUGUUUUUCUCUGUCUGUGUCUUUCUCUGUCUGCCUCUCUCUUUCUUUUUCUGUGUCUCUCUGUCUGUCUCUCUCUCUCUCUCUGUGCCUAUCUUCUGUCUUACUCUCUUUCUCUGCCUGUCUGUCUGUCUCUCUUUCUCUGUCUGUCUCCCUCCCUCCCUCUCUGUUUCUCUCUGUCUGUCUCUCUCUCUUUCUGUUUCUGUCUGUCUCUCUUUGUCCAUCUCUGUCUUUCUCUCUCUGUCUCUUUCUCUGUCCCUCCCUUUCUUUCUCUGUCUGUCUCUCUGUCUCUGUCUCUCUCACUGUGUCUGUCUUCUGUCUUACUCUCUUUCUCUGCCUAUCUGUCAGUCUCUCUCUCUCUGUCUGUCUGUCCCCCUCCCUUUCUGUUUCUCUCUCUGUCUCUCUUUCUCUUUGUCUCUCUCUGUCCGUCUCUUUCUCUCUCUUUGUCUUUCUCUCUGUCUCUGUCUCUCUCUCUCUGCCUGUCUCUCUCACUGUGUCUCUCUUCUGUGUUACUCUCUUUCUUUGUUUAUCUGUCUCUCUCUCCCUCCCUGCCUUUCUGUUUCUCUCUCUCUGUCUCUCUCAAUUUCUGUCUGUUUCUCUCUGUCUCUCUCUAUCUCUGUUUCUCUCUGUCUCUCUCUGUCUGUCUCUGUCUUCCUCUGUCUGUCUGUCUCUCUCUUUCUUUUUCU
rnacentral:lncRNA from 10 species